UGAAUACAUAAAGGCCAUGAUAGUUUAACUUUUACAACUCUCAUUAUUCUACCUCCAAGCUUAUUUAUCCCUUGUUUGCUCCUUCCUUACUUCAGGGGUCAAUAAUUUUUAAUGAGAUAACUGAAAGGAACAGUUUUGGGGGUUUGGAGAAAGGUAAAAUCAUAAUCACCAGGAAUUCAUUGCAGAACUCCACGUAAUUACUGUGAAGAGACUGAAGUUUUCAGGCCCCACUUGAAUUACCAGGGUCCCUUUAGAGUGAAAAAUGUAUGAAUCUCUUCCCUGGAGUUGUAGAGGACUUGGAUAUACAUUCUAGAAUAUGAAGAUUGAUUGAAAUUCUUAGAAGCAGAAAGUGGAAGAGAGAGACAAAGUGAGAAGAAAAAUAGCUGCAUGUUUCUAUUUUAUGCAGGGCCAGGCUUGGGCUAUUAUGAAUGUUGCUGAACACUGUUAAUCAAGCUUACACAGCUAUUUUGAUGGCAAACAAUUAGAACUCUGCAGCUCUACCUUGCAAUUAGCUUCAGGGAUACGGACCUGCACACCCUAAUAAUGAAAGAGACCUCCUUCAAGCACGUACUCCCUUGGAUUAUUCACUCUGGAGAAAAUCAGCUUCCACAUCAUGAGUGCUGUGAAGAGGCUCACAUGAGUGAACUUGGAAGAAGAUCCCCUGAGGCCUGGCAACAACCAAAUAAGCUUGGAAGUGUGCUCUUCAGCCCUGCUUGAGCCUUGACAGGAUAGCUGCAUGGACCAACUCACAAUUUGACCACAGCCUUAUGGGACAAAUGGAGCCAAUGACACCCAGCUAAGCCAUACCUAGAUUCCUGAUGCACAGAAACUGUAAAAUGAUAAGUGUUUGCUGUUUUAAGCUGCUAAUUUUGGGUAAAAUUUGUUAUAUGCAAUAGAUGACUAGUAGAAGGAUUAAAUGAGAUAAUUCACGUAAAGAACUUAGCAUGCACCCAAACAAUGGUAACUGUUAAUUGAACUGCUAAUAGUAUGGACCACACUUGCCUUUCCCUUUUCUCAAUUUUCAUAAAUAGAUUAAUCUAUAAUAAUCCUACAGCUA
rnacentral:lncRNA from 1 species